UAUACAUGCAGUCGAGCGAAUGGAUUAAGAGCUUGCUCUUAUGAAGUUAGCGGCGGACGGGUGAGUAACACGUGGGUAACCUGCCCAUAAGACUGGGAUAACUCCGGGAAACCGGGGCUAAUACCGGAUAACAUUUUGAACUGCAUGGUUCGAAAUUGAAAGGCGGCUUCGGCUGUCACUUAUGGAUGGACCCGCGUCGCAUUAGCUAGUUGGUGAGGUAACGGCUCACCAAGGCAACGAUGCGUAGCCGACCUGAGAGGGUGAUCGGCCACACUGGGACUGAGACACGGCCCAGACUCCUACGGGAGGCAGCAGUAGGGAAUCUUCCGCAAUGGACGAAAGUCUGACGGAGCAACGCCGCGUGAGUGAUGAAGGCUUUCGGGUCGUAAAACUCUGUUGUUAGGGAAGAACAAGUGCUAGUUGAAUAAGCUGGCACCUUGACGGUACCUAACCAGAAAGCCACGGCUAACUACGUGCCAGCAGCCGCGGUAAUACGUAGGUGGCAAGCGUUAUCCGGAAUUAUUGCGCGUAAAGCGCGCGCAGGUGGUUUCUUAAGUCUGAUGUGAAAGCCCACGGC
rnacentral:rRNA from 1 species